AACUAGUAAUGGAUGUGCUUCGAGCACUUUCCAGCCCCAAUCUUGAUAUUAGGAGGAAAACUAUCGAUAUUGCCCUUGAAUUGAUUACUCCUAGGAAUAUUGAUGAAGUCGUUAUGUUGCUGAAGAAGGAGGUGGUGAAAACUCAAAGUGGAGAGCAUGAGAAGAAUGGGGAAUAUAGGCAAAUGCUGGUGCAGGCUAUUCAUACUUGUGCAAUUAAGUUCCCUGAGGUUGCCAGCACAGUGGUACAUCUCUUGAUGGAUUUCUUGAGUGAUACCAACGUAGCUUCAGCAAUGGACGUUGUUGUUUUUGUACGUGAGAUCAUUGAGACAAAUCCCAAGUUGCGAGUUUCUAUCAUUACACGACUGUUGGAUACAUUCUAUCAGAUUCGUGCAGCGAGGGUGUGUUCUUGUGCGCUUUGGAUCAUUGGAGAGUACUGUCUCUCGCUCUCUGAAGUUGAGAGUGGAAUCUCUACCAUAAAAAAUUGUCUUGGUGACCUUCCUUUCUACACAGCUUCAGAGGAAGGAGAGGCACAAGAGUCUUCAAAAAGUUCACAGCAAGUAAGCUCAACCACAGUAUCCUCUAGAAGGCCUGCCAUUCUUGCAGAUGGAACCUAUGCAACCCAAAGUGCUGCACUUGAGACUGCAAUGUCCCCACCAACCCUUGUUCAGGGAUCCCUAUCCUCUAUUGGAAAUUUGAGAUCCUUAAUUCUUUCUGGCGACUUUUUCCUUGGGGCAGUUGUGGCUUGCACGCUUACAAAACUUGUCUUG
rnacentral:misc_RNA from 1 species